AUUUUUAAUGCCUAUUUUGGACGUGUAACUGUUUUUUUAGUAUUGUCUCUUGCAUACCUCUUCUUUUCUAACAAGCAAUUAUUACUUUUUUCCCCUGACCCCAGUUUCACUGAUUCGCCCUCCCUUGCAGCAAUUUAAAAUAGUGCCAAGGGAAGUUGCUUGUUCCUGUCUUGAAUCUGUCAAGCUGUUAACUAGUUUCUUCUCAGGUGACUGCUGAAGAUAAAGCAGGUUUUCAACAACUGUUUCAGGGACUAUUUGGUGAGUUUUUCAUCAUCAUUUUCAGCUGCAAGAGGGUCCUGACCAAGAAGAGCUCUCCAAGAGAGAUGGGAUGGGUAUUAUUGCCCCCAUUGUGCUGAAAAAGAAACUGAUGCUUGGUCACAAUGAAUAAACAAAAUCUGAUUCAGAGACUAUGCCAAGCCAGGUGAUAAGAUCUUGAAGAACCAAGAUCCAGAGAGAAGUGAAAGGAAUCAGUGUUCCAUGGAACGGAAGUGCAUCAGGAAAGGAAAGAGAAAACAGAUUCAGACUAAAGCACGUGCCUGACAAUGUGUCUGCUGCAUUGCAUGAGGCAGCCUUGCUGCAGCCAACCAUAGUGGGUGCCCUUGUAGGUCCAAUUAAGAGGCUUAAUUGAAGAAUUCCAAGUUAGCAGACUGUCCUGGCACUCAGAGGAUAUUGUGCCUGGUAAUGAUAGUGUUGAAUUGGACAGAAAGAAUAUUCACAAAGGUGGCUGUCCAUAUCCAUGGGUUCUGUAUCCAUAGAUGCAGAAUUCUUGAAUACAGAGGGUUGACUGGGAGAUCUGACAUCUGCAGGUUUUGGUAUCCGUGGAAGGUUCUGCAACCAAUCUCUGGUGGAUGUGAGAGGUGAUUGUACUUAAGCUUCAAGAAAGGCCUCCUCUGCUAAAAAUGCUCUCUGAUUAGCCAUUCACUGCUUCCUGAACUAUGAAGACAUCUUCUAGGAAUACUCAGGAUCUUCUGCUAUGUGGCUUUAAUUUAUUUUAAGAUUAAUUCCUCAUUACCUUCUUACACAAAGCCACCAUUAGCAUAUCAAGCACAGCUGUACAAAUUUUUAAAAGGCCAAAAGAUGUAUCUGCCAAUUCUAGGAGGAUAUAAACCUGAAGGCACAAAUCUGGGCUGGAGCACAUGGUUUCCCUUGUGAGAAGAAAAAGUCUCCUUCCUCUGAAUGGACACACCUUGCACACCAGGGCACAAGGUUUGUCUAGAAGAGCACAGCUGAACAUCAUAAAGUGCAGAACCACACACCUGGCAUCCUUGUCCCUACACAAGGUAUGUUGCUGUUAAAGUAUAAUUUGUUACUCUCCAAAGCACACUCACAAUUCCCUACUUGGGUCCCUUGUUGCAUGUUACUGCUCCUCAUUUAUGCAUUUGGAUGCUUUCUUAUAUUUUUCCUCAACCUCUACCACAUUCAGUUAGGCACUCAGCCUAUAUUUCAUGUAUACCUAUGUAGCAGGUCUUAUGACCAGAGUUGGGGAUGCACAGAAAUUGCAGAUUUCUUAUUCAUGACAUUACUUCUCAUCCCCACAACUCAAUAUGAUAAUUCCUUUCCC
rnacentral:lncRNA from 10 species